GCUUCAGCGAAGUGCUAUGAUAAACCUCCAGAUACUGGUGACUCAGGUGGGAUCAUAGGAAGGAAGUGGAUGAAUCAUGGGAUGAAGAGGACCUACCCACUAGUGUUUUGGGUGUGACUGAGAAAAAACCAAGUUUAGAAAAGACACUCUGUUGGCAUGAUUUAGGGACCAGAAUGAAUAACCGCUAUCUUUUUUGGUACCAAGGAAGUCACUGGGAGAAUUUAACCAAUAAAAUAAACAGAUA
rnacentral:lncRNA from 1 species